GGAUGCGAUCAUACCAGCACUAAAGCACCGGAUCCCAUCAGAACUCCGAAGUUAAGCGUGCUUGGGCGAGAGUAGUACUAGGAUCAGUGACCUCCUGGGAAGUCCUCGUGUUGCAUUCC
rnacentral:rRNA from 2 species